GAAGAAAUGAGGGUGAGGGAUGAGGGAGGGUGUUAAAAUGAUUGGCCAGGAGUAGUGUGAGAUGUCAUAACUUAAAUUUCUGUUCAUGGGUAAGGGUCAAAUUUGCCAACCUACAAUUCUCGACUGCUCUUCAUUAGAAGCAAUAGGAAAACUAUCUAGAAUAUGUAAUGAGAAAUUUGGCUUUCAUAAGACUUGUUCUGCAGAAAGGGUGUGGGGCAAGUGAAUUAUUUGCUUUAACUGAACAAUCAUAGAUGCAUCUAUAAUGUUAACUCAUUUCAUGCACUCUUCACAUUCAAUAGCAUAGAUGCUGGUGUAUAGGUAAAUCAUUUCUUGCAGUCAUAAAAAAUUCAAAAUCAAAAUCCUGUGUUUUGCAUUAACUGAACAAUCAUAGAUACUGCUGUAAAGGGAAAAUCAUUUUGUUUUGUAUGUUGGCCAUGUGUUACUCACAAUUCACAUGAAUCCUCCUAUCCUCCUAAGAGCUAUACUAAGAGAGCCUCCAUUUUUAGCAAAGGGCGGUCUGGAAGUUAGGCUUUUUUUUU
rnacentral:misc_RNA from 1 species